AAGUCCGAGAUUUGUCUCGGAGCCUCUCACUUGUGUUGGCGGCGAACAGCCAGGUAUAAAAUGAUCUGCGGUGUGGUCGACAUGUGAUAAUUUUACACGAUGGAAAAAUCUACGUCUUUGAGAUGGUGCAGUGUGCAGUAGAGUAUGGCAGCCCCUGUGAGCCAGAUCACAUAACAUUCGGCGAGUUCAGUAUACUGGUCACUGAGCUCCAGAACUACUACAGCAAAAGACUCACAGCUCCCGUCCCUAAAUCUCUGUACAAGGAGAAGUCAAGGGAUACGAUGGAAUGCUCAAAGUGGAAACGAAAAGUGUUUCUUGGUGGUUCCUGUAACCCCACGACAUGGAGGCAGGAGGCUGCCAUUCCAUUCUAUAAGAAAAAAGGAAUUACAUUUUAUAAUCCACAAGUUCAAACAUGGCGCCCAGAGCUAAUGGAGUUAGAAGCUCAAGCUAAAGAGAGCGCUGAGCUGCUACUGUUCGUGAUUGACAACAGAACAAGGGCCGUGUCUUCCAUGAUUGAGACGGCAUACUUAACUGCACGUGGCAGACAGGUGAUAACUGUGAUGGAUGAUUACAAUUCUACAGAGGUCUACUUUCACCAAGAAAAGGUCACCUCAAAAGAGCUUGACGACAUAAUGAGAGGGCGACAAAUUCUUGUGGAUCUGAUCGAGAGAAAUGCCCUCCCCGUCUUCAAGGACAUUAACACGGCCCUGAAGUGUUCAGCACAUGUGUUACAAAAGAAUGUUCCUGUUUCUGAGCUUGGAAAAGAACAGGGGGCAGUCCCAACCAAAUAUGGCUUCCUUAAAGUGGGAGAAAUUCUCUUACAACUUAGAGAAGCUUUCAACUCCAUGAAUACCUCUAGUGACGGUAGACUCACUCUCUCAGAUAUUUGCCUGGCUCACCGUAGCUGUAUGGGCUACACCCUGGAUGUGAACUGGCUCAGGAAGUGUGGCCACUGGGACGACAAUGACACCUAUAGCUUCGAGGAAUUCUGCUGCAUCCUUGCCGAGUACCACUCCCAGAAAAAGUCAGUCUGGAAGAGGCUCCUAGACAUAGCCAGGAAUGUGCUUCCAUCAGGUGUGUCCCAUAAUUCCAUGUUUGACUGCAACAAAGAAUAUGAUUCGACCUUUGACAUUUACUUGGGAGGAAGCUGUGGGGAUUCAGAAUGGAGAGAUAACAUCGCCAUCCCCAUGAUAAGGAAGUACGGCUUGUCUUACACCAAUCCAAAUGUGCGUACUGAGUGGAAAUACAAGUUCAUCCCGAUGCAGGUCGCAAACCGCGAAAAGUGUCGGGUUCUUCUGUACGUCAUCACAGGAAAAACACGCUCCCUGUCCUCCAUGAUUGAGGCUGGGUAUUACAUUGGGAAAGGUUGUAAAGUUGUUCUCUGUGUCCAGAAGAUGGUGCCCGAUACGUACAUAGGAGGAGAAAAGAUAACCAAGGCGGCCGCUGACGACUACAAUAGAGGGCGCUCCUAUUUGAUCGACCUCGCCAGUCGGGAGGGCGUCCAGCUGUUUGAGGACAUCAGCGAAGCCGUUGAGUGUGCCAUAGACAGUUUACCUGAGAGGUGCUCCAUCACACCUGUGUCCCGAGCGGGCACCCCUCAGAAAAUCUCCCGCCCGAACACCCCUGUAAAAAUGCGUAAUCCCACAUUGUAGAGACUUGUGUAAUCUUCGAUUCCCCACCCCAGGGAUCAACCCCUCAUUCCGUGAGUGUGUAUAACACUCUGUCGCCGCUGCUUCUGCGGCCAUCUUGUUGUAACCCACGUAGCUUACGGCGCAUGGAGCACUUCUGAACCAGACAAAGGACUAAAACUGUCGUUGUGUAUACCAGAAGUCAGUGCCAGCUGCAUGAAUGUUUCUCUAUCGGUUCUUCUCUGAUUGGACUAUCACAUCUCACGAUGUCCAGUAGAAACGAGACUAAAUCUACCUCUCUCUCUCUCACAGUCUUAUCUGUUACUAAGUAGGGAAAACAGAAAUAUAGAGAAUCAUUAAAGGGAAGCUACUCUUGGUAUAGAAGUAGGUAAUAAACUGUUGAUUUCUACAGUAGAUGUAGACUGUCCAUUCUAUAAAUCCACUAACAAAACGGGUCUUUGUAUUUUAGUGUUUCUUUGUCAGCUCUUGUUUCAUUUCUGUUAUUUCAGGCAAAAUUGUAAGGAACCAUUUUUUGUUUUUCUUUCUUUUAUUCUUUAUAUCAUUUUAUCUUGCUCAGGAAGUGACUUAUGUUUUACUGUACGUUGUGUUGAUAGAAUAAAAAGCUAUUUUGAUUUACUC
rnacentral:misc_RNA from 1 species